rnacentral:rRNA from 1 species
UACGGAGGGUGCAAGCGUUAUCCGGAUUCACUGGGUUUAAAGGGUGCGUAGGUGGGUUGAUAAGUCAGUGGUGAAAUCCCCGAGCUUAACUUGGGAACUGCCAUUGAUACUAUUUAUCUUGAAUACUCUGGAGGUAAGCGGAAUAUGUCAUGUAGCGGUGAAAUGCUUAGAUAUGACAUAGAACACCAAUUGCGAAGGCAGCUUACUACAUAGUUAUUGACACUGAGGCACGAAAGCGUGGGGAUCAAACAGG